UUCGCGGAGAAGAACCCCCUUUUUGAAUCCUGUUUUCCGGCGUGGAAUUCCCCCUCCGCGUGGCAUCCGGCAACGUGCCAGGUUUUGGGUAUAAAUAGAGCAGACACUUUUAUAACAUACACACACAGUAUCUUCUGGACGAAAAGAGACAACCAGACAGCAUCCUUUUCACCGCCAUCAUGAAAUUCAUCAAUCUCAGCCUCGUCGUGAUGGCCGCCAUCUUGGUACUUGCUUGCUUAGCAACGGCCAUGCCCGACCCUUAUGCUCUGGCGGAUCCUGAUGCGGAUCCCCGUCGCGGUUAUGGAUUCGGAGGCUUCAGGCCAGGCGGCUUCGGAGGAUUCGGAGGAUACGGUGGAUUCCGCAGACCUUACUACGGAUAGAUCUAGUAUGCCCAGGGAACAACUCUUUCUCUCUCGGUCUCUUCUGCUACGAUUCUGGAACGAGUGACAUCGCUUCUUUGGGAAUUUCAUUCUCGAUGAAAUAAACGGUUUAAUCUUCUAA